UACGAGAGGCCCAAACGUUAUUCGGAAUUACUGGGCUUAAAGAGUUCGUAGGCGGCAUUGCAAGUAGGGUGUGAAAGCCCUCGGCUCAACCGAGGAAUUGCGCUCUAAACUGCAGUGCUCGAGGAACCUAGAGGUGAGCAGAACAGAUGGUGGAGCGGUGAAAUGCGUUGAUAUCAUCUGGAAUACCGGAGGCGAAGGCGGCUCACUGGGGGUUUUCUGACGCUGAGGAACGAAAGCCAGGGGAGCAAACGGG
rnacentral:rRNA from 1 species